rnacentral:rRNA from 1 species
GACGAACGCUGGCGGCAUGCCUAACACAUGCAAGUCGAGCGAGCAGAUCUCUUCGGGGUGAAGCUAGCGGCGGACGGGUGAGUAACACGUGGGCAACCUGCCUCAUAGAGGGGAAUAGCCUUCCGAAAGGAAGAUUAAUACCGCAUAAGAUUGUAGCUUCGCAUGAAGUAGCAAUUAAAGGAGCAAUCCGCUAUGAGAUGGGCCCGCGGCGCAUUAGCUAGUCGGUGAGGUAACGGCUCACCAAGGCGACGAUGCGUAGCCGACCUGAGAGGGUGAUCGGCCACAUUGGGACUGAGACACGGCCCAGACUCCUACGGGAGGCAGCAGUGGGGAAUAUUGCACAAUGGGGGAAACCCUGAUGCAGCAAUGCCGCGUGAGUGAUGACGGCCUUCGGGUUGUAAAGCUCUGUCUUCGGGGACGAUAAUGACGGUACCCGAGGAGGAAGCCACGGCUAACUACGUGCCAGCCGCCGCCGUAA